rnacentral:rRNA from 1 species
GACGAACGCUGGCGGCGUGCUUAACACAUGCAAGUCGAUCGGAAAGGCCCUGCUUUUGUGGGGUGCUCGAGUGGCGAACGGGUGAGUAACACGUGAGUAACCUGCCCUUGACUUUGGGAUAACUUCAGGAAACUGGGGCUAAUACCGGAUAGGAGCUCCUGCUGCAUGGUGGGGGUUGGAAAGUUUCGGCGGUUGGGGAUGGACUCGCGGCUUAUCAGCUUGUUGGUGGGGUAGUGGCUUACCAAGGCUUUGACGGGUAGCCGGCCUGAGAGGGUGACCGGCCACAUUGGGACUGAGAUACGGCCCAGACUCCUACGGGAGGCAGCAGUGGGGAAUAUUGCACAAUGGGCGGAAGCCUGAUGCAGCAACGCCGCGUGCGGGAUGACGGCCUUCGGGCUGUAAACCGCUUUCGCCUGUGACGAAGCGUGAGUGACGGUAAUGGGUAAAGAAGCACCGGCUAACUACGUG